AACUCUACACAUAUAGGCUUUUUUCUUCAGUGAUAAAGCUGGUGGUAAACCUCAGGUAUGUAAUGUUGUCAACAAAGCUAAUAUUAUUUUUUGAGACCCUUAUUCUCUUAAUUUUUUAAGUUAAUGAAAUCACCUUGUAAUCUAAGUGACAAAUUUUGGGCUUUCAGAAUUAUUAUUUGUUUCUAAAAAUGGCAAAACCGAGCAAGCAACAAAAAGAAGAAGAAAAACUAGUCUAUUGUCCCAAUAAAGGAAGUUCAGUGUCUCUUUAAUUAACCUCCUUUUUCGGAAAAUAAUGAUAAUUUAAAUUUUAACAGAUCAAAAUUUACCUUUUGAAGUGUCUUGAGUCAAGUUAAAGGUAUUUGUUUGAAAUGAAAUUUGUAACCCAUGAGCUUGUUUAAGGAGAUUGCUUUAACAGCAAUGAUAUUUUUGUGUUAACAGAAAGAUUAUAAAUUAUGUUCUAAAUUCUGGUGAGUUUUCUUACUUUUACUGGUUUGUUGGGGUUCUGGGGUUUUUCCCUCCUCCUCUGAGCAGAUUGGUCAGGUCUGCUUGAAUGUGUAAUGGUUGUACACAAGACUCCCAACAGAAGUUUAAUCUCAGAAAUUAUUAAAUUUCAGCCCUGACAAAUUCCAUUCAUUUUCUUAUUUUCUUUUUUCCAAGCAAUAGACAUUUUUGGCACUCUUUGAAGUGUUUGAAUUUUCAUGUGUACUUGGCUCUAAGGGGAAGGACUGUCCUCAUUGCACUGAUUGUUUUCAGCUACCUUUUGCACUGUACAUUUUAACACUAUUGUGAAGUGUUUUACCUUAAUGCAGACAUUUAGUCAAGAUUCAUAUGAAUCUUAUUAAUCCUUAAGUUCUUAAUAAAUAAAUACAUUAUGAUAUUUAUGUAACAGACAUUAUUGGUAGUGCUGUGUUACAGAGUUUGUUCAUGCUACAGAAUUUAUUCAUGUAAGUAUAUUAAUAUUCAUUGAAAGGACUUAAUUUAAAGAAAUAAAUAGUUAUUCCCUUCCUAUGGGUGAAAAAUUGAAGGGGAGUGAAAAUGGUCACUGAGGCAAUGCAUCAGCUAUUGUGAAAACCAGAAAGGUUGUCUUGUUUUCAGAAUUCAGGGUCAAUCUAUCCCAUAUCAUCCACAUGGAUGGUAUAUGUGCCCACCACACAGGGGGGAUCCUGCAUCCAUAGACAAAAAAUAUAUAUUCAGAAAUUAAGGGUUAUCACUGUCCUACACAAAAGACAAAAAUCCUGUAGAUUAUGGCAAGUUUGCUGACAAAGAAGAAAAACCUAUAUGUGUAUGACUCCCUCUUCAGGAGGCCUUAAAUCUAUACUUCAUCUUUUGUAUAAUUGUUCAGUUCACAUGAGAUAUCUCUGUCCUGUCACAUUGAACAUGGAUGGGUGAAGCUCUGACUUGGUUCUGCCCCACACCAGGAUUCUCAGAGUUCCUGCAUGUUUGAUGCAGCUCAUUCAUCUUGUUUAAUAAGCUACAUGGCUCUGAGUGUCAAAAGCAAAUGGAGAUCUGCCCUUUUAGAAACUGCAAGAAUGAAAGGGAAGAAGUUCCCAGGGUUUCAGCAAACAAGAGUUAGAGUGCAAUAACGAGUAUCCAGUGAAAGCCCCUUUCUGCUGGCAGACCUGAGCUGCACAUGCUGCUGACUCAGGGUGAUUGAGACUGACUCAAUACUGGAGAUUUGGGAUCCAAAAACCCAAAGUGAAGAUUGCACCCAGUCUGUUGGGAACUCUCUUCAGCCUUUGCAGUCUAAAACUUUCAACUACAUUCAAAGGUGAUGUAAAUCACAUCCACUGCACCCAGGCAUCAUUACUACUUCAAGGUCAGCACUGAGACUGGGAGAUUUGUUCCUCUUCACCAGUCCCUCAAAGCACCCACCUCAGCAGCCAAAAAUUCCCUACAUGGAAGAUCUCUCACCUUGCUGAAAGCACAAAUGGAAAAACUUGUGGCAAGGUAAAGCAGGGUAAUGACUUUUGGAAGAUGCUAGCCAGACCACUGUGAAUGAUAGCAAAUAAAAUUCAAGCAGUAAAACCAGCAAUGGCACAUCAAGAAUAUUUCGUAGACUUCUGUUUCAAAAUGGAAUUGCUGAUCUUUUUUCUAAUGAAAGUAGAAAUCACAGACCUGCUGUUCCUGCUCUUAAUUGCAGCCUGGAAGUUAGGCAGUGUUCUGAGCUAAAUUUUUCUGAUGAAGGUGAAUCCUUGCAAUUAACAGUGUUAAAUUCACUUUUUAAAUGAAUCAAGCAAAAUAAAUCUGCCAUUUUGCAUAUGGCAGCAGAUGUGAUUGUUCAGCAUGAGUGCUGCCCUCACAUAUCAUAGUACAGUUAAUUCAACUCUUAGUAUAGUAAACCCAAAUGCCAAAACCAUGAAAUUAGCUGGAUUAAAAGAAUCCUGUUAUUUUUUUCUUUUCUUCCCCCCAUUUUAAGAUUUCUUAUCUUGAACUCACUUUGUAGAAAAUAAAGACAAAACUUCAAUGAAAUAUGACUAUGUCUUCUAAUUAGCCCUUGAUGGGUAAUGAGUUUUGGUUUUGGGGGUUUUUCAGCUUCUGAAUGAGGCAGCAGGCUGCAGGCUCCACUUCCCAUCCAGGUGUCUUGAUGGCUGGGUUACCCACUGCACAGGAAUAAACUCCAGCCUCUCUGCUUGCUGUCUCCCUUACUCCCCCUUUCCACUCAUAUGUAGUUUGUUCUCUCCCCAGUCACAUGUUUCUGCAAACUAUUCUUUCUACAUGCAUUGGGUGUCACAAGAUUAUUUGGUUUAAGGUCAUGAGACUUCAAGUUCUGCUUUUUUCCUACUUUUAAUGGGCCUCUUGGAAUUCACCCUGUUAAUUUGAACUCUGCUGAGUAAAAUAGAAGAGUUCAGUAUUGGUCAGACCUCAAAUCUCAAGUGAAGCUGGUGAUGAAAUGCAGCAUUAAAAAACAAUUGCUCCAGUGAGGCCCCAGAACUCCAGUGCUCACAACUCCACACAGCUCCAUCCCAGGAGGGUUUGAGACAUGACCCUUUCUUCUCCUGAUCUGAGCCACUGAUUUGAGUGGAAUUGUUGCUUGAAUUAGAUGAGAGGAUGGAGCUGAAGGCUUGUGCUUUCAACAUUGUGUUAGCCAAACUGAUAGCUGAACUGGUUCUUGUGCUGAACUGUGGCAACUGAUUCUCACAUGUUAAAUUUAUUUAUGUCCUGGAAUGAGAAGAAGGAUCAUGGUAAGACCCCCAUGACAGUUUUGUUGUUUUGGGUAAUACUUGUAUUUAUUAACUCAUGCAAUAGUCUUGUAAGGAGGAAUUAGCCAAUACAGCUGAAAACAGCAGGGAUUUUAGCACUCAGGGUCUUUCUGUAUCAGACAGUGAUUUCUGAGGACAUCCCCACCCUUCCUGUGCCUCCAUGGGCUCUGGAGGUGAUGCCAGUCUUGUCCCCUCACCAAGGGCACUGAGCUGCUGUGCUCAGCACUGCAGAAGCUGUGUGGGCCAUCCCAGCCUCAUUUAAAACUCUACUGGAAUUCCAAAGCCUGAGUUGGUGGUUUUAGUCAGGAUUUUUUAAUUAGUAGAAGAACAAUACAUCUCCUUUCUUCUGUAAGUCCAUUUGUGCAGCUCUGUUUCUGUUAGUGGAUCUAAGCUCUCUGUUACUCAUAGGCAGGGUCUGUUAAGGGCUUGAAAGGAAGUGGGAUGUUUGCAAGGCAGUGCCUCCACCUGGGUUUGAAAUUAAAUCUUUCAAUCUUUCAAUUAAUUUUCUGACUUUGCCUUUUGAUUUUUAGCACUAAUAUUUCCAAAGUGUGUGAAUAAACUAUCCUGCAGCAGGCUAUAAAAAGUUUAAUAAUGGAAAUACAGAUGCAUUCUACUCUACUGAAAAGAUGCCUCAGGAUUUCCAUUGGCAAGUCCCAUUCUCUUUAAUUUGUCAGUGCAAAACAUGACACACCUUUUGUCGCUGUAAAUAUUUGUAUUCAUAAAACAUUACAGGGGUGUUAAAAACUACACCAAACACAACAGCAGCCCUUGCCCCCUGUACAAUGUUACCUGAGACCCUGGUGGAUGGUCCAGGUCAUUAACCCCAUUGCUCAGAAAGCAGCUCUUGAUUAGAUUUCAUUAUUUUUGUUACUGAAGGACUCUGACAUCAACUCAAAAUUCCGUGCAUGGCAUUUGCUAAGAGCCUCUGUUUAGAAUUGAGGACCACACAGGGGUUGGUUGUUUGGGGUUUUUUAAAAUUGAGAUCACUGAUAAUAAAACCCAGUAUUUAUCCUUGCUACAAUUUAUUACCUUGUAUUUCCUUCAUUUUGUUCUCUUAUCUUGUAUAUUUGAGUUCUUCACUUCCAGUACUUAAAAGUUCAGCCUUCAGUGUGAACAGUUCUGUUUAUCUUCAUAAUAGAAUUAGUAACCAGAUACAUCAACAAGAUAAACUUGUCUCACAGGAGAAAAAUUCUCCCACUUUCUUACCCAUGCAGGGAAGUAGUUGCUGGAUCCUGCAUAUAUUCUGGAUGAGAUCUUAUCCCAAAAUGUUUUUGUACUACCCUGAUGCUCCAAGGGCUCGUUCAGAGGAGACAUGCCACCAGGAAACAACGGGAGAGGGCUGUAUUCUUGCCAAGCCUCAAAUAUUUGCUCUGAGACAGCUCUGGUCAGCUGCCAGCACUGGCUGCAGAGGGGCCAGCCCAAAACACUGCCCUGCAGGCUUGGCAGCCAGAUUGGGGGGCUCUCAGGCAUUUUUCAGACAUGGCCACAAAUAUUUAUUUUCUUUCUAGGGCAGUGGCUUGAGUGAAAAUUGGUUCUGAAUUCUGUAAAACCUCUUUUACCUUUUGCGGUCAGAUGAUU